AGAGUUUGAUCAUGGCUCAGAACGAACGCUGGCGGCGUGCUUAACACAUGCAAGUCGAACGGGAUCCAGGCUUCGGUCUGGUGAGAGUGGCGCACGGGUGAGUAACGCGUGGGAACCUGCCCAGGGGUACGGAAUAACGUCGGGAAACUGGCGCUAAUACCGUAUGAGCCCGCAUCGGAGACGAUGUGGGGAAAGAUUUAUCGCCUUUGGAGGGGCCCGCGUCCGAUUAGCUUGUUGGUGGGGUAAUGGCCUACCAAGGCUUCGAUCGGUAGCUGGUCUGAGAGGAUGAUCAGCCACACUGGGACUGAGACACGGCCCAGACUCCUACGGGAGGCAGCAGUGGGGAAUAUUGGACAAUGGGGGCAACCCUGAUCCAGCAACGCCGCGUGGGUGAAGAAGGCCUUCGGGUUGUAAAGCCCUUUCGACGGGGACGAUGAUGACGGUACCCGUAGAAGAAGCCCCGGCUAACUUCGUGCCAGCAGCCGCGGUAAUACGAAGGGGGCUAGCGUUGUUCGGAAUUACUGGGCGUAAAGGGCGCGUAGGCGGACCAUUAAGUUAGGGGUGAAAUCCCGGGGCUCAACCUCGGAAUUGCCUUUGAUACUGUUGGUCUUGAGGACGGGAGAGGGUCGUGGAAUUCCCAGUGUAGAGGUGAAAUUCGUAGAUAUUGGGAAGAACACCGGUGGCGAAGGCGGCGACCUGGACCGUAUCUGACGCUGAGGCGCGAAAGCGUGGGGAGCAAACAGGAUUAGAUACCCUAGUAGUCC
rnacentral:rRNA from 1 species